UCUGUAGGUGACCAGUGCCUGAUGCGUUCUCCCAAGCAACCGGCGAAGCUCGCCAUGCUUUUACUGUUGGUAUUGCUAUUGUUCUGUAGUGGAGUUGGCAACGUCCAUUGCUCGACGAUCCACGAGAACAGGGUCGAUCUGCAGGCGCUGCUGGACUUCCAGCAGGGCAUCGCUAGCGACCCUCGAGGAGCCUUGAGUAACUGGAACACCACAACCCACUUCUGCCACUGGAAUGGUGUCGACUGCACCACCACACCACCACUCCGCGUCACAGAGCUCAACCUCAGCGGCUGGAACUUAGCAGGCCUAAUCACCUCCUCUCUUGGGAACCUAACUUUCCUCUCACAUCUUGACCUCUCAGGGAAUAACUUCGUUGGCCCCUUACCUGUCAUUGGGCAUCUCCAACAACUGGUCACAUUAGAUCUCUCCCAUAACAAGCUAGUGGGUCAAAUUCCUCCGAACCUAGGAUUUCUUUUAAAUAUGACUUACUUAGGUCUCUCCCAUAACAUGCUAGUGGGUCAAAUUCCUCCGAAUUUAGGCUUUCUUUCAAAAUUAGGAUACAUCGAUUUGAGAUCAAACAAACUGGAGGGCAGCAUUCCUAAUGAGCUUGGGCAAUUGUUAAGCUUACAAAUAUUACUCCUGGGAGACAAUUAUCUUUCAGGUGACUUCCCGCAUUCCAUAUUGAAUCUUGCUGCUUCUCUCCAAUAUCUAAGCUUGGAGGUGAAUAUGCUAGGCAAUGUAUUGCCACCUAAUAUAGGUGACCUUUGGGGUCUCAUAGAGCUUACCAUGAGUGACAACAUGUUUGAAGGGCACAUCCCAGCUUCCCUAGGCAACGCCACAGGAUUAGAAGUGAUAUAUUUAUCACUUAACAAUUUCACUGGGCAAAUUCCUAACAUAUUUGGAAAGCUUCCAAAUCUGACUAGUCUAAACCUUCAGUCUAACCAGCUUGAAACAAGGGACUGGGAAUUCAUAAAUGCAUUGGCGAACUGUCAUUCUCUAAAAUCACUCGGAUUGGCUUACAACCAGCUGCGGGAAUCUAUACCACAGUCUGUUGGUAACCUAUCCAACAAACUAGAAAAACUUUUCUUGACUGAAAAUAGCUUAUCAGGACAAGUACCCCAUAGCAUAGGAAACCUUAGUGCAUUAAAUCAACUGGCACUAGGUACAAACAACUUAAGUGGCACAAUAGAAAGAUGGCUUGGAAACCUAAAAGGCCUUCAAUUAUUAAAUCUUCGCUCAAACCGCUUCACUGGCCAAAUCCCACCCUCUAUUAGCAAACUUACUCGGUUGAUAAACCUUUAUCUGGAUGAUAAUGAAUUUGAGGGCCUCAUACCGCCCAGCCUGGGAAACCUCCCACUCGUACGGCUAGUCCUUAGCUCUAACAACCUUGAGGGCUACUCCCUCCUUUUCAGUUUAUAG
rnacentral:rRNA from 1 species